UUGUUCGUCGCCUCGUCGCUCCGCCUCUCCCCUCCUUUUAUCGAUCAGGCAUUGCACACACGCACUGCCCUGAUUGCAUCUGAAUCUCCCUCCUGCUAGUAGCUUAAUUGCUCUGGUUUGCUUCUACCAUUGAUCGCUCAUCGCUGCCGAUGUUGAAAGGUUCAUGAACAGCCUGCCUGGCUGACUAGCCUGACUACUUGUUUUUUCACGCCGCUGAGUUGUUCGUCGUAUUGCCUAACCGGGAUGGCCUCCGCAAGGACCAUGAUCAGGGCACACGAUGGAGACCAGGUUAAUUCCUAUCCUUCCUCUUGAAUCAGCGUUUAAUUUACAUGUCCGGUUUCACUUUCUUCGGCCAGCCCCGACUCCCCGAGGUUUGCCCGAACGGCCGGACCGACAUCAGAGGAUGAAUCUUGCGCAAGCAUCUACAGUCUGAAUGCAUCCCUUAAGCAAGUUACUGGCACAGCACAGAAGCACACUGUCUAUCGUACCCUGCAUUUGAGGUGGUAAUCCAGUGCAAGAUGGUGGAAAUCCACUGGUUCGAUAGGAGUCGAUGAUGGCUACGUUUUCUAUUAAAGGGGACAGCAUUAGGUCACCAGCCAGUCUAAAGGAGCAUCCAGUUGAUGUAUGUCCAGUGCAUGUACGUCUUCAAUUUAUUGCUAGAUAUGACAUAGUAAUUCCUGAUAGAACCAGACGAAUAUUAGCGAACAAGACGCAUCCUAAAGUUCCAGCUCAUGCUUUUCACCACGCAAGGGUGACCUGAAAUUGCAUAUGAUUCCAAAAGAAGCAUUUUAAUUCCUCUCCUUUCAAAUGGCCAUUCUGUUUAUGUUCCAAGCCACGUUGAGUAACAAACAUGUACGGACAGUCCGUGACAAUUCCUUCUACACUACUGCUGUCCCCAAGCUACAAGAACAACGACGUGAAAGCUCAGGAACAAGAAAAAAAAUGAUUGGCAUCCGUCACGAGCUAUACGUUGAAUUUGCAAUUUCUAAUGUGGUUUGCUGACGCAGGUUUUGCCGGCCAAACCAACGAAAGGCACCGGAUAAGAGUUGCGAGGAAGCGCUCGUGUCUGCAGGCUUCGCAGAAGGAUCGGGCGAAGGAAUUUUUGCCCAGUCCGUACAGCCUUUUCUCUAUCUCCAGGCAAUCCAUCACAUCGGAAAUUCAGUACUCAGUCAGAAGCUACAUUUCACAGUGUCAAAGAAAGAAGCUACCUUCAUUUUAUACAUUUUACUUUUGCUACCUUUGGUCGAGUCAUCCUAUCUCAUACAUGACCGAGACCAAAUGAGCACUACGAGUCCUCCUCUACUGCUCUACACGCGUAUAUCCGGGCACGUAAUCUCGAAACACGUAUUCCGUUGCUUGCUCGAUCGUGCCAUCACGAAGGCGCAGAACUCUGCUUUCGCUUUGAGACUGGGGAAGAAACAGAGAUGGAUGGGUUUGACCGCGGGGGUUGGAGGAAGGAAGGCGCAAGGCACGGAACGAUGCAUGGGGUUCAACGUUUGACCCGGGUGGGGAUUAGAACGAGGAUAAAGAACUAAGGG